GGACCCUGACGGUGUAGAGAUACGCCUUUCCCUUCGGGGACAGUGGUGACAGGUGGUGCAUGGUUGUCGUCAGCUCGUGUCGUGAGAUGUUGGGUUAAGUCCCGCAACGAGCGCAACCCUUGAUCUUAGUUGCCAGCAUUCAGUUGGGCACUCUAAGGUGACUGCCGGUGAUAAACCGGAGGAAGGUGGGGAUGACGUCAAAUCAUCAUGCCCCUUAUGACCUGGGCUACACACGUGCUACAAUGGAUGAUACAGAGGGUUGCCAACCCGCGAGGGGGAGCCAAUCCCAUAAAAUCAUUCCCAGUUCGGAUUGGAGGCUGCAACUCGCCUCCAUGAAGCCGGAAUCGCUAGUAAUCGUGGAUCAGCAUGCCACGGUGAAUACGUUCCCGGGCCUUGUAACACACCGAGA
rnacentral:rRNA from 1 species